CCUACGGGAGGCAGCAGUAGGGAAUAUUGCUCAAUGGGGGAAACCCUGAAGCAGCAACGCCGCGUGGAGGAUGAAGGUUUUCGGAUUGUAAACUCCUUUUGUUAGAGAAGAUAAUGACGGUAGCUAACGAAUAAGCACCGGCGAACGCCGUGCCAGCAGCCGCGGUAAGACGGAGGGUGCAAGCGUUACUCGGAAUCACUGGGCGGAACGAGCGCGUAGGCGGGAUAGCAAGUCAGAUGUGAACUCCUAGGGCUGAACCAUAGAACUGCAUUUGAAACGGUUAUUCUAGAGUAUGGGAGUGGUAGGUGGCAUUCUUGGUGUAGGGGUAAAAUCCGUCGAGAUCAAGAGGACUACUCAUUGCGACGGCGACCUGCUAGAACAUACCUGACGCUGCUGCGCGACAGCGUGGGGAGCAAACAGGAUUAGAUACCCCGGUAGUC
rnacentral:rRNA from 1 species